UUGCCUAAUGCGUGUUCAGUAGAAGGCUCCUUGGAUUUCAGGGAAAUUCUGUGCAGGAAGAGAAUGACUGUUCACUACCGGGGGCAUGAAGGAUGCCCUUUCCUUCGCCAGUUAUAAAGAAGUACUGGAAAUGACUAACCUGAUCAACUCUGUUCAAAUACGGGGAUGGAUCCGAGAAAAAUGAAUAGAUGCAUCUGUCUUGCUGUUGGAGACCUAUUCUGUACCCUAGAGAGGCUCAUGGCGUGAGUGUGCAGACUGUCGCUACUAAAGCCUGACACGGUCACCUGCCUGGGCCCCGAGACCCGAUCAAGCUGUACCUCACGUCCCGCACGUCCAUACUCAGGACUGGUCAUAUGCAUGUAUGCAUACAAAGAUAGCUAAGAUA